CCUACGGGAGACAGCAGUGAGGAAUAUUGGUCCAUGGGCGCGAGCCUGAACCAGCCAAGCCGCGUGAGGGAGGACGGCCCUACGGGUUGUAAACCUCUUUUGCCGGGGAGCAACGGGCGUCACGUGUGGCUCCACUGAGAGUACUCGGAGAAAACGCAUCGGCAAACUCCGUCCCAGCAGCCGCGGUAAUCCGGAGGAUGCGAGCGUUAUCCGGUUUUAUUGGGUUUAAAGGGUGCUUAGGCGGAUCGUUAAGCCAGUGGUCAAAGUCAGGGGCUCAACCCCGUCCCGCCAGUGAAACUGGCGCUCUUGAGUGGAAGAGAGGUAUGCGGAAUGCGUGGUGUAGCGGUGAAAUGCAUAGAUAUCACGCAGAACCCCGAUUGCGAAGGCAGCAUGCCGGCUUCCGACUGACGCUGAAGCACGAAAGCGUGGGGAUCGAACAGGAUUAGAUACCCCGGUAGUC
rnacentral:rRNA from 1 species